rnacentral:lncRNA from 1 species
GCAUUUAGUAGGUUGAGAUUCUGCUUUAUGUAACAGAGAAGUAAAAAUGAACAGUGGUUUAUGCAAGAUAGUUUAUUUCUCAUUUUCCUUCAUGUAGAGAAAGGCCAGAGACAGGUGCACCAGGGCUGGUAGUACGACUCUGCUCUACAUUGACUUGAAGGAUCUACACUGUGGCCUUUGUCCAAGUUGGCUUCCACAACCCAGAUGGCAGGAUGAAGGAACAUAGAAGUUGGGGAAGGCCAUGUGACAGAUGCCUGUUAAGGAGGAAGCUGCUUACUCUGGAGCAUGUUCACUUCUGUUGAAAUGUUGCUGUUGAAAGCUGCAUGUAGAUCUUUUGAGAGGCCACACGCUUGAGUCUCUAUUUUUAAAUUUUCAUGACAGCUUUUACACUCUCCUGAGCAUGCAGGAUCUAAGUUUCUACUGAAGCGUGUAAUUACCAGCAAUGACUUAGCACCCGCCAU